rnacentral:rRNA from 1 species
UAGGGAAUCUUCGGCAAUGGGGGCAACCCUGACCGAGCAACGCCGCGUGAGUGAAGAAGGUUUUCGGAUCGUAAAGCUCUGUUGUAAGUCAAGAACGGGUGUGAGAGUGGAAAGUUCACACUGUGACGGUAGCUUACCAGAAAGGGACGGCUAACUACGUGCCAGCAGCCGCGGUAAUACGUAGGUCCCGAGCGUUGUCCGGAUUUAUUGGGCGUAAAGCGAGCGCAGGCGGUUUGAUAAGUCUGAAGUUAAAGGCUGUGGCUCAACCAUAGUUCGCUUUGGAAACUGUCAAACUUGAGUGCAGAAGGGGAGAGUGGAAUUCCAUGUGUAGCGGUGAAAUGCGUAGAUAUAUGGAGGAACACCGGUGGCGAAAGCGGCUCUCUGGUCUGUAACUGACGCUGAGGCUCGAAAGCGUGGGGAGCGAACAGGAUUAGAUACCCUGGUAGUCCACGCCGUAAACGAUGAGUGCUAGGUGUUGGAUCCUUUCCGGGAUUCAGUGCCGCAGCUAACGCAUUAAGCACUCCGCCUGGGGAGUACGACCGCAAGGUU